UUUCUGUAUACUUUUUGAGCACAUUUGUACUGGGGAAACAAGUGUCCGAUUAUACUAUGGAGCCACUGUAUGUAGUUGUUUUUGCCUUUUUGCGGCUCACAGCCACUGUAAACUGAAUUUGAAUUUAGUCCGGUUGAAAUAUCUUGGUAUUAUAUAGUUUUGGCAAUAGGCAGUGACAUGACUUAAUGUUUGGCUGACAAUGUGAACACAUGUACAAUUUGAAAUUAAAAACUUUUUGUAUAUUUUAAAAAAUUUAGAAACUGGAAUAACGUAUCGAAGCUUAAAAUAUCUCUCAGCUGAUGAUAUUCGUGAUGCUCUCCCCAAUAUUGGUUUUAGGGCUGAAUUUAGAGUGAAAUUAUUCACUUGGAAAAAGAAAGAGUUUAAUUUUGACGACGAAACAUUGUCCGCUAAUUCAAAAGUUGUAUCUUGGAUUCAAAAAAGUUCUCCUUCGAACUCGUUUUCAGCUGGUUUAAUGAUUGGAAUGUAGUCGUUGAAAAAUGGUCACAAACAUUUGAUUUGCGUCGUAAGAACUUACAGAAUUUGGACGCUACAGAAUUUCUAAAACAAUGUCCAAAAUAUUCAGAAAGCUAAGCUCCAGAUUUG